GUCAGAAGGAUAACCAGAUGGUUGAGAACACAGAUACAGUUACAGAAAAGAUCAGCACAGCCCUGUGCAAGGAUGACACGCAAAACUGUGAAGCAUUCCAUAGUUUU